rnacentral:rRNA from 1 species
UGGGGGAUAUUGCACAAUGGGCGAAAGCCUGAUGCAGCGACGCCGCGUGGGGGAUGAAGGCCUUCGGGUUGUAAAAAUCUUUUCUAUGGGAAGAAAAUGACAGUACCAUAGGAAUAAGGACCGGCUAAUUACGUGCCAGCAGCCGCGGUAAUACGUAAGGUCCGAGCGUUGUCCGGAAUCAUUGGGCGUAAAGGGUACGUAGGCGGGUAAGCAAGUUAGAAGUGAAAUCCUAUAGCUCAACUAUAGUAAGCUUUUAAAACUGCUCAUCUUGAGGUAUGGAAGGGAAAGUGGAAUUCCUAGUGUAGCGGUGAAAUGCGCAGAUAUUAGGAGGAAUACCGGUGGCGAAGGCGACUUUCUGGCCAUAACCUGACGCUGAGGUACGAAAGCGUGGGUAGCAAACAGG